GGUGAUAUGGUCUAGUGGUAUGACGACGUGUUGUGGUCCACAAAGCCGCGUUAGCCCGUGUUCGAUUCACGGUAUCGCCA
rfam:Sphaerulina musiva SO2202 unplaced genomic scaffold SEPMTscaffold_6, whole genome shotgun sequence.